AGUGAACGCUGGCGGUAGGCCUAACACAUGCAAGUCGAACGGCAGCACAGUAAGAGCUUGCUCUUACGGGUGGCGAGUGGCGGACGGGUGAGGAAUACAUCGGAAUCUACUUUUUCGUGGGGGAUAACGUAGGGAAACUUACGCUAAUACCGCAUACGACCUACGGGUGAAAGCAGGGGAUCUUCGGACCUUGCGCGAUUGAAUGAGCCGAUGUCGGAUUAGCUAGUUGGCGGGGUAAAGGCCCACCAAGGCGACGAUCCGUAGCUGGUCUGAGAGGAUGAUCAGCCACACUGGAACUGAGACAGGGUCCAGACUCCUACGGGAGGCAGCAGUGGGGAAUAUUGGACGAUGGGCGCAAGCCUGAUCCAGCCAUACCGCGUGGGUGAAGAAGGCCUUCGGGUUGUAAAGCCCUUUUGUUGGGAAAGAAAAGCAGCAGGUUAAUACCCCGCUGUUCUGACGGUACCCAAAGAAUAAGCACCGGCUAACUUCGUG
rnacentral:rRNA from 1 species